rnacentral:rRNA from 1 species
UACGUAGGGGGCAAGCGUUGUCCGGAUUUAUUGGGCGUAAAGAGCGUGUAGGCGGCCUGGCAGGUCCGUUGUGAAAUCCCGGGGCUCAACCUCGGAACUGCCUUUGAUACUGCAAAUCUCGAGUCCGGAAGAGGUGAGUGGAAUUCCUAGUGUAGAGGUGAAAUGCGCAGAUAUCAGGAAGAACACCCGUGGCUAAGGCGGCUCUCUAGUACGGUACUGACGCUGAGACGCGAAAGCGUGGGGAGCGAACAGG